CUAAUGAGAUGCAACCCACAGGAUUAUUGUGGCAAGAAGGCCCAUCGUUAUGGAUCCAUUCCAAAAUAUCCGCUGGGAGGACAUUAGAUCAUUACCCUACAACAGUGGCUUCUUUAGCCUUGUGGGGAAUUCAGCAUUGUUUACAAUUUUUUGGUAUAAAACCCAGCUCUAUUGUAAUCCCUUAUGAUGGGUAUCAGCACAAGGUCCUAACAGCAAAUAUUGAUGAGUAGGCUAUUUUAGUCUCUAUUAAUGAGGGCCCAUUUGAUAAUCAUUAUCCCAAACAUCCUUUAAUGACCUGUUUUAAGGAGCAUCCAGUCAUUUUUCCUCAAGUGGUGAGGAAAACACCCAUUAAAGAUACAUGCAGUUAACGUGUUUACUGAUGGAUCAAAAACAGGAUGUGGAGUACAUAUGGUAGAGGGGAAAGAUCCUGUGGUCAGGCAGUAUUAUCCAUGUACUCUGCAGAUGGUGGUAUUACAAAUAGUUAUUGAGGUCAUUAAGGAUUGUGAUUUUCCUUUUAAUCUAAUUUCAGAUUCACAAUAUGUAAUUAAUUUAGUUUUAUCCAUAGAAGUGGCUGGACAAAUAAAAGCUCGUAGUACCAUCCAAGCCUUGGCCUUACAAUUACAGAAGUUGCUGUGGGAAAAAUGCCAACCAUUAUAUAUUGGACAUGUCCAUGCCCAUAGUGGGCUUCCAGGACCCUUAAGUAGGGGAAAUGAUAUUGUGGAUAAUUGUACUCGUAUAGAGUUCAUAUUUUUAGCAUCCCCUAUGGAGUUAGCCUCACAAUUUCAUUCUAAAUUUCAUGUUAAUGCUAAAACUCUGCAGAGAAAAUUUGGAAUCUCUAGAGCACAAGCUCGGGAUGUAGUCACUACCUGUGGAUGUUGCCUAGAGUUUCAACAUCCACCUUCUUAUGGAGUGAAUCCUAGAGGAUUGCUCCCUCUAUAGGUGUGGCAGAUGGAUGUGACACAUUUUUCAGAACUUGGCAAAUUGAAAUACGUUCAUGUAUCCAUUGAUACAUGUUCAGGAAUAGUUUAUGUAUCUCCCAUGUCAGAGCAAAAGGCCUCCCAUGUUAUACAGCAUUGUUUAGAGCCCUGGGCAGCUUGGGGUAAACCCCAACAACUUAAAACAGAUAAUGGCCCUGUAUAUUGCUGAAACCCUGGUGUCUUUUUGUCAACAGAUGGAAGUACAAGUUAAACACGGCCUGCCAUAUAAUCCUCAAGGCCAAGGAAUCAUUGAACGAACACAUAGAACCUUAAAAGAAUUAUUAAUAAAACAAAAAGGGGAAAUAGGCCAUGGCCAUACCCCAAAGAUAAGACUCUCCUUAGCUCUUUUUACCUUAAAUUUUUUACAAUUGGAUAAGGAAGGUUGCUCUGCUGCUGAACAACAUGCUAAUGCCAGCCCCAGUAAACUGGAGUAUGCUAAAUGGAAGGAUGUGCUUACAGGAUCAUGGAAUGGUCAGGGCCCCAUGCUGGCCUGGGCAAGAGGGUCUGUUUGCAUGUUUCCACAGAAUUGCGCAGAGCCAGUGUGGGUUCUGAAGCGGCUAGUGCGACGCUGUCAAAAUGAAGAAGCUGAUCUUGCUGGUGAUAAGCAUGUGUCUGCCCCUGAUGGGUGCGGAACCCAGAUGGUGGAUACUGUCAGUGUUCCCCAGACAGAUGCCUCUUUGUCAUGAUAUUUCCUGUUAAGAAAUUCCUCUUAAGAAAUUGGACUGCAAAUUUUGAUGGCAAGAUGAAUGAGCUUCGCUCAGCAAUUGUCACUGUGAAUUCUACCCGAGUGGAUCCUGGCUUGGCAUUGGGAAAUAAUGGGCUGGGAUAGGUGCCCUCGCUGUGGCCCUUGUUUUGGCAUGCAUGUUGUGUGUAUGGUGUACAUGUCAGUUGCGGAAUGCCCAGGUCCGCACUGCCACCAUGGUGGUGCAAGCUUUUGCUGCAGUGAAAGCAGGGCAGUCACCUCAGAUUUGGCUUGCUGCCAUGAAGAAUGAACAAUGAAGUCAUCGCUCCAUAGGGUUGUAAAGCUAAGCACUGCACCGAGGUUAGUCUGGAAUCUGUUUGACAAUCUCUGGGAGGUAUGUCUGAUUGCAUGAGUGUUGAGUGUCUAGUGUCCUUCCCCCAGGAAAAAACGGCACGGGAGCAGGUCAGGGUUGCUCUGGGUAAAAACCUGUGAGCCUAAGAGCCAAUCCUGUACAUGGCCCCUAUUUCUGCACACUGGGGAUCAGACCUCUAUCUUCACCCAUGGAGCUUGCUUCAAAAGAAUAUAAAAGGGGGAAUUGUGGGAAGCCAUUCCAGACUCCCUGGCCAGCCGGACAGAAAUCUGUGCCAGGCAGUAAACAAGCCCAUAUUUGGUGGAUGGCUCACCCUUAAUCCCUGAUUGGCUGAGCAAGCCUGCCUGGUGAGGUGGUGUGACCUGUGGUGAUUGGUUGAGCAUGGUUGUGGCUUGAGUGCAUAAAAACGCUUGUACCCUGAGGGUUGGGGGAGUUGAAGAGAGAAGCUGCCUGAGUAAACUGCAUUAAGAAGAA
rnacentral:lncRNA from 1 species